rnacentral:lncRNA from 1 species
GCUCCAGUUUCCCUGUGUGACUGAGUCAGAAUCACAGUGAAACCCUCACCUCUCAUUCCUCCAAGCGGACCAGAAGUGGCCAUCUUGUGAUUUUCCAGCAGGGCCUCAGAAGGAACAAGUGUGCCCCCCAAUGCUCAAGUUUGUCAAGAUUCAUCACCGAGCUGCUUCACCUAAGGAUUUC